rnacentral:rRNA from 1 species
CACGUAGGGGGCAAGCGUUGUCCGGAUUUAUUGGGCGUAAAGAGCUCGUAGGCGGCUUAGUAAGUCGGGUGUGAAACCUCCAGGCUCAACCUGGAGACGCCACCCGAUACUGCUGUGGCUAGAGUCCGGUAGGGGAGCGUGGAAUUCCUGGUGUAGCGGUGAAAUGCGCAGAUAUCAGGAGGAACACCAGCGGCGAAGGCGGCGCUCUGGGCCAGUACUGACGCUGAGGAGCGAAAGCGUGGGGAGCAAACAGG